rnacentral:rRNA from 1 species
UACGUAGGGAGCAAGCGUUGUCCGGAAUCAUUGGGCGUAAAGCGCGCGUAGGUGGCUUCGUAAGUCCGUUGUGAAAGUCAAAGGCUCAACCUUUGAAAGCCGAUGGAUACUGCGGAGCUAGAGUACGGAAGAGGCGAGUGGAAUUCCUGGUGUAGCGGUGGAAUGCGCAGGAUAUCAGGAGGAACACCAAUAGCGAAGGCAGCUCGCUGGGACGUUACUGACACUGAGGCGCGAAAGCGUGGGGAGCGAACAGG